AUGGUUUGGCCCACCCCCUAUGCUUAAACUACGCCCCCGUUCAUAACCGGUGACCGGUUUAAGGUAGAAUCUUAUGUGAGGUAUCAAUGAACUCAGCAGAGUUUUUUAUUGGUAAAGGUUUCCCCUACCCCUAUGCUUAGGUCACGACCCCUUUCACAGCUAAUAAACUGUAUGAAGUAGAGUCUUGUGUGAGGUAUCAUUGAAUUCAGCAGGGAGUUCUCUUUUCAUUGCUGAAGAUUUGCAACUUCUGAGUGCAGC